UCUAAUAUGGCAGAUUAGUGCCAUGGAUUUAAGCUCCAUAAAUAAAGAUUUUUCUUUUAUUAGAA
rnacentral:tRNA from 4 species